UGGCAUAUGGAGGUUCCCAGGCUAGGGGUCAAACCAGAGCUGUAGCUGCCACAGCAAUGCCAGAUCUGAGCCACAGCCACAGCAAUGCCAGAUCUGAGCUGCGUCUGUGACCUACACCACAGCUCAGGGAAACGCUGGAUCCUUAACCCACUGAGCGAGGCCAGGGAUCGUUUCCACUGCGCCACGAUGGCAACUCUAAAUCAUGACAUUCUUGUACCUAAACUCUUUCAUGGAUGCUGCACAAUUCAUAAUGCAUUGAAACUUUUUAGCAGGGCACAUCCAAGUCCUUCUUGUCCUGCAUGCCUCAGCCUUUAGUUCCUUUCACUGCCAUCACACCCAAUGCUCCUAUGAAACCACAAGUGCAGUUCCCCAACGGUACUGUGUGAUCCUCGCCUACUCCUUGUUCAAGACUCAACUAAAGUACUCAAUGGAAGGCCUUCUCUGAGCAGAUCCCCCAGGAUGGUUGGGUGCCUCUCCAGUGUUAAGUCAUAUCAAUAUCUGCCUAACUCAGUCUGACUUAACACUUACCACAUUUCAUUGUUGUUUGUUUGUUUUUGUCUCCUCAAGGAUGAAUGAAAUAAAUGAAAGACACUAAAUCCUCCUCCCAGCCAAGAUGUGGGCUUUUUUUUGGACCAGUUGGGUGUUUUAAAAUUAAAAGUUUGGAUUAGGAUGCAAGUAAACUAAAUUUACACAUCUAUGUUACCUGUCUGACUUCUGAAGCAUUUCUGAUAGCCAUCAGCCUCCUAAACCAGAAAUAGGGGCUCUCAUCUUUGAAUCUCCAGUAUUCAAGACAGUGCCAGGCACAAACUGGAGCUGAAAAAAAAUGUAUGGAAUCAAGGGAGGAUACAAUUCUCUCCUCACAUGGGUGAAGAAGCUGAGGUUCUACUUUUUUUUCCUGCAUCUUUGACAUGCAGAAGUCCUAGGCCAGGGAUGGAACCCUUGCCUCAGCAUUGAUAAGCUGGAUACUUAACCCACUGAGCCACCAGGGAACUCUGAAGGUUUUACUUUUGAUGAGCAUGGGCAGUAAAACUGCCCCAGGAGGUGGGCCCAGAAUCAGGAGCACAAUGCUGAUUGGCCUAAGUCUGUGGUUGACUUAGGAACAGUCUGGCCAAUAAGAUGUCAGGGAAAGUCUGGGGGAUUCUAGGAAAAGUUUCCUCCCAUAAAAAGGGGGAGGCCAGCACUAGUUUUUCAUUCCUAUAAAUAAGACUUGUAAUUUACUGUAAUUUUCUGAAGACAGAUAAAAUCUGUCUACCAUGCCAUCAUUUCACAUUAUCACUGUAGAAAUUCUAGUUCCUUGCUAAGAUGGAAAUAAAGUCAAAUUUGCCCAAGCUUUCUACCACUUAAUAACCACCUGAUGACACAGUGUGAGCUCGGAGAAAGGCACAGUUUUAAAAGAAUUGCUAGAACUUUAACUGGCAGAAUAAUAUUGAUCCAGGAAUGACAUUUUUUUUCAUUUUUAGACUGUUUUUGAGUAUAUUGCCUCCUUUUUUUUUUUCUUUUUAGGGCCAUACCUGUGGCAUAUGGAAGCUUCCAGGCUAGGGGUCGAAUUGGAGCUACAGCUGCUGGCCUACACCACAAUCACAGCAACUUGGGAUCCAAGCCUCGUCUGUGACCUACACUACAGCUCAUGGCAACACCAGAUCCUUAACCCACUGAGAGAGGCCAGGGAUCGAACCCACAUCCUCAUGGAUCCUGGUUGGGUUCGUUAACCACUGAGACACUAAGGGCACUCUCUAUAGUGCCUUUCAUAUUUCUUUCUUCAGUGCCCUAGGGAGCAGAGCUGCCACAGGGAGUCAGAGGCCACCAAAAACAAACAAAAACUGCUCUGGUGAAUAAUGAUGUAACGGUGAGAGGCUGCAGACCCCUUCAUCAGAGCCUCUCAAUUUUCUUUCUUCAUAAUUGAGCAGCUACUACACAGCAGGCACCAAGCUAAGAACCAAGAAUACGGUCUUGAGCAAAAACAAAGCCCGUGUCCUUAUCUAGAUUACAGAAAGGCCUUGCACAUAAUCACAACAGGGAAAGUGUAGGUGCACCCCAGGAAGUACGAAAAUGUUAAGACUCCCAGUACCAUGAUGGCACACACCAGGGUGACCUGUCUUAGUCUUAAACUGUAGCAGAUGAUAUUUAAGCUGAAUUCUGAUUUUUGAAUAGAGGGUAACUAACGAGGAGGUGGAUGUGGAGGAGAUAUUCUUAGCCUCUCUUACAUCGUAAACAUGGUAGGCACUUCAUAAACACUCGCUGGCUGAAAGAGUGAAUUGACCCUGUCCCUCUCAAGGGAGCAAAUCAAGUGGAAGGAAGAUGAUUCACUUUAAGAAACUACUGGAGAGGGUUUUGGUCAACCCCAUCCUUUUUACUGUUUUUCUAUUUGGGUCAAUUUUCUUCCCAGUGAUGGAGUAUUUUCUACUGAAUACAACUGUUGCCUAUUUUAGCUUCUUGUUGUUGGGUUUUGUGGAUAUCUAUCUAUCUAUCUAUCUAUCUAUCUAUCUAUCUAUCUAUCUAUAUAUAUAUAUAUAUUUUUUUUUUUUUUUGGUCAACAGAGGUAGAAAAAUAUAGCAUCAGCG
rnacentral:lncRNA from 1 species